UACGGAGGGUGCAAGCAUUAAUCGGAUUUAUUGGGCGUAAAGGGCGCGUAGGCGGAAUUAUAAGUCAGAUGUGAAAUUCUGGUGCUCAAUACCAGGACUGCAUUUGAAACUAUAAAUCUAGAGGGUAGGCGGAGAAAACGGAAUUCCACGUGUAGCGGUGAAAUGCGUAGAUAUGUGGAAGAACACCUGUGGCGAAAGCGGUUUUCUAGCUUAUUACAGACGCUGAGGCGCGAGAGCAAGGGGAGCAAACAGG
rnacentral:rRNA from 1 species